rnacentral:rRNA from 1 species
GAUGAACGCUGGCGGCGUGCCUAAUACAUGCAAGUCGAGCGAACAGAUGAGGAGCUUGCUCCUCUGACGUUAGCGGCGGACGGGUGAGUAACACGUGGAUAACCUACCUAUAAGACUGGGAUAACUUCGGGAAACCGGAGCUAAUACCGGAUAAUAUAUUGAACCACAUGGUUCAAUAGUGAAAGACGGUUUUGCUGUCACUUAUAGAUGGAUCCGCGCCGCAUUAGCUAGUUGGUAAGGUAACGGCUUACCAAGGCAACGAUGCGUAGCCGACCUAAGAGGGUGAUCGGCCACACUGGAACUGAGACACGGUCCAGACUCCUACGGGAGGCAGCAGUAGGGAAUCUUCCGCAAUGGGCGAAAGCCUGACGGAGCAACGCCGCGUGAGUGAUGAAGGUCUUCGGAUCGUAAAACUCUGUUAUUAGGGAAGAACAAAUGUGUAAGUAACUAUGCACGUCUUGACGGUACCUAAUCAGAAAGCCACGGCUAACUACGUG